rnacentral:rRNA from 1 species
GACGAACGCUGGCGGCAUGCUUAACACAUGCAAGUCGAACGGUAAGGCCCUUCGGGGUACACGAGUGGCGAACGGGUGAGUAACACGUGGGUGAUCUGCCCUGCACUUCGGGAUAAGCCUGGGAAACUGGGUCUAAUACCGGAUAGGACCCUGGUAUGCAUGUCCUGGGGUGGAAAGCUUUUGCGGUGUGGGAUGGGCCCGCGGCCUAUCAGCUUGUUGGUGGGGUGAUGGCCUACCAAGGCGACGACGGGUAGCCGGCCUGAGAGGGUGACCGGCCACACUGGGACUGAGAUACGGCCCAGACUCCUACGGGAGGCAGCAGUGGGGAAUAUUGCACAAUGGGCGCAAGCCUGAUGCAGCGACGCCGCGUGAGGGAUGACGGCCUUCGGGUUGUAAACCUCUUUCAGCACCGACGAAGCGCAAGUGACGGUAGGUGCAGAAGAAGGACCGGCCAACUACGUGCCAGCCGCCGCGGUAA